rnacentral:ncRNA from 2 species
AAGAAAAAUAGUUCAUUGGUGAAUUGGGUGUAAUUCCCAAACAGGGCCGCUACGGUUAUAGUCCGAACCCAAAAAUCUU